CGCCUCUUGCCCAAUUCAAAUAAGAGGUCCAGCCUGCCCAGUGACCAUGUGUUCAACGGCCGCGGUAUUCUGACCGUGCAAAGGUAGCGUAAUCACUUGUCUUUUAAAUAGAGACUGGUAUGAAUGGCACCACGAAGGUUCAACUGUCUCCCAAAUCUAAUCAGUGAAACUGAUCUCCCCGUGCAGAAGCGGGGAUUUCCACAUAAGACGAGAAGACCCUAUGGAGCUUUAAACUAGGACCACCUGUUUUUCUUUUCAAACCAAUCAGGCAUAACCACUAGCUAAGCAGAUCUGGCUCCCUUGUUUUCGGUUGGGGCGACCACGGAGAAAAAAAAAUCCUCCAUGGAGAAAGGAAAUCUCUCCUAAACCAAGAACCACAUUUCUAAGCAUCAGAACUUCUGACUAUAAUUGAUCCAGUCUAACUGAUCAACGAACCAAGUUACCCUAGGGAUAACAGCGCAAUCUAUUUUAAGAGUUCAUAUCGACAAAUAGGUUUACGACCUCGAUGUUGGAUCAGGGCCCCCCAGUGGUGCAGCCGCUACUAAAGGUUCGUUUGUUCAACGAUUAAAGCCCUACGUGAUCUGAGUUCAGACCGGAGUAAUCCAGGUCAGUUUCUAUCUAUGAAGAAUUUUCCCCAGUACGAAAGGACCGGAAAAAUAUGGCCAAUGCCACAGCAAGCCUUAACCUUACCUCAAUGACACUAACUAAAUUGACUAAAACUCUACUACUAUGCCCAAGAACAGGGCUA
rnacentral:rRNA from 1 species